UACGUAGGGCGCAAGCGUUGUCCGGAAUUAUUGGGCGUAAAGAGCUCGUAGGUGGUGUGUCGCGUCUGCCGUGAAAGCCCGGGGCUUAACCCCGGGCCUGCAGUGGGUACGGGCAGACUAGAGUGCGGUAGGGGAGACUGGAAUUCCUGGUGUAGCGGUGAAAUGCGCAGAUAUCAGGAGGAACACCGGUGGCGAAGGCGGGUCUCUGGGCCGUAACUGACGCUGAGGAGCGAAAGCGUGGGGAGCGAACAGG
rnacentral:rRNA from 1 species